rnacentral:rRNA from 1 species
GAUUUCUGGUUUGGCGCGCCUGGCCCGCCACGGUUACGUGUGUGAGUGCCGGGACGCGCCUGCCAUCCUUCUAGUGAACUAUUCUGCCCUUCAUUGGGUGGGAUAGGUAGCUAGAUCUUUUACUUUGAAAAAAUUAGAGUGUUUAAAGCAGGCUUUUGCUAUGAAUACAUUAGCAUGGAAUAAUAAUCUAGGACUUCGGUUCUAUUUUGUUGGUUUCUAUAACUGAAGUAAUGAUUGAUAGGGAUAGUUGGGGGUGCUAGUAUUGGCCGGCCAGAGGUGAAAUUCUUGGAUUCGGUCAAGACUAACUUAUGCGAAAGCAUU